GCACUUCCGAUCUAAGAAUUUGAAUGAGGUUCCUAUCGGUAAAGGAUGGUGCAAAAUGCAAGAAAAAAGCAACACCAG